CAAGGUUUCCGUAGGUGAACCUGCGGAAGGAUCAUUACAGAGUUCAUGCCCGAAAGGGUAGACCUCCCACCCUUGUGUAUUAUUACUUUGUUGCUUUGGCGAGCUGCUCUUCGGGGCCUUGUAUGCUCGCCAGAGAAUAUCAAAACUCUUUUUAUUAAUGUCGUCUGAGUACUAUAUAAUAGUUAAAACUUUCAACAACGGAUCUCUUGGUUCUGGCAUCGAUGAAGAACGCAGCGAAAUGCGAUAAGUAAUGUGAAUUGCAGAAUUCAGUGAAUCAUCGAAUCUUUGAACGCACAUUGCGCCCCUUGGUAUUCCGGGGGGCAUGCCUGUUCGAGCGUCAUUUCAACCCUCAAGCUCAGCUUGGUAUUGAGUCCAUGUCAGUAAUGGCAGGCUCUAAAAUCAGUGGCGGCGCCGCUGGGUCCUGAACGUAGUAAUAUCUCUCGUUACAGGUUCUCGGUGUGCUUCUGCCAAAACCCAAAUUUUCUAUGGUUGACCUCGGAUCAGGUAGGGAUACCCGCUGAACUUAAGC
rnacentral:rRNA from 1 species